rnacentral:rRNA from 1 species
UCCGUAGGGUGCAAGCGUUGUCCGGAAUUAUUGGGCGUAAAGCGCUUGUAGGCGGCUUGUUAAGUCGCGUGUGAAAUCCCCUGGCUUAACCAGGGAAGUGCGCGCGAAACUGGCGAGCUUGAAUGCCGGAGAGGGUCGCGGAAUUCCCGGUGUAGAGGUGAAAUUCGUAGAUAUCGAGAGGAACACCAGUGGCGAAGGCGGCGACCUGGACGGACAUUGACGCUGAGACGCGAAAGCGUGGGGAGCAAACAGG